GUGUCAGCAGCCGCGGUAAGACAGAGGUGGCAAGCGUUGUUCGGUAUCACUGGGCUUAAAGGGUGUGUAGGCGGAAAGGUAAGCGUUUUGUGAAAUCCCCCGGCUUAACCGGGGAACUGCUUGACGUACUGCCUUUCUUGAGGCAAGCAGGGGUGCGCGGAACUCUUGGUGGAGCGGUGAAAUGCGUAGAUAUCAAGAGGAACGCCGGUGGUGAAGACGGUGCACUGGGCUUGUUCUGACGCUGAGACACGAAAGCGUGGGUAGCGAACGGGAUUAGAUACCCCGGUAGUCCACGCUGUAAACGAUGUCUACUAGGUUGUGGGUGUUCUGACGCAAUCACGACCGAAGCAAAAGUGUUAAGUAGACCGCCUGGGGAGUACGGUCGCAAGGCUAAAACUCAAAGGAAUUGACGGGG
rnacentral:rRNA from 1 species